rnacentral:rRNA from 1 species
CAGUCGCCGCGGGAAUACGAAGGGUGCAAGCGUUACUCGGAAUUACUGGGCGUAAGGCGUGUGUAGGUGGUUGUUUAAGUCUGUCGUGAAAGCCCUGGGCUCAACCUGGGAAUUGCGAUGGAUACUGGGCGACUAGAGUGCGGUAGAGGAUAGUGGAACUUCCGGUGUAGCAGUGAAAUGCGUAGAGAUCGGAAGGAACAUCUGUGGCGAAGGCGACUAUCUGGGCCAACACUGACACUGAGACACGAAAGCGUGGGGAGCAAACAGGAUUAGAGACCCGUGUAGUCCCUGUCUCUUAUAA